CACUGCCGAGAAAAGCCUCUAGAUAGAAAAUAGGUGCCCGUACCGCAAACCGACACAGGUAGUCAAGAUGAGAAUUCUAAGGUGAGCGAGCGAACUCUCGUUAAGGAACUCGGCAAAAUGACCCCGUAACUUCGGGAGAAGGGGUGCUCUUUAGGGUUAACGCCCAGAAGAGCCGCAGUGAAUAGGCCCAAGCGACUGUUUAUCA
rnacentral:rRNA from 1 species